CGGCGAGCGAAGCGGGAAGAGCUCAAAUUUAUAAUCUGGCACCUUCGGUGUCCGAGUUGUAAUCUCUAGAAGUGUUUUCCGCGUUGGACCGCACACAAGUCUGUUGGAAUACAGCGGCAUAGUGGUGAGACCCCCGUAUAUGGUGCGGACGCCCAACGCUUUGUGAUACACUUUCGAAGAGUCGAGUUGUUUGGGAAUGCAGCUCAAAUUGGGUGGUAAAUUCCAUCUAAAGCUAAAUAUUGGCGAGAGACCGAUAGCGAACAAGUACCGUGAGGGAAAGAUGAAAAGCACUUUGGAAAGAGAGUUAACAGUACGUGAAAUUGUUGGAAGGGAAACGCUUGAAGUCAGACUUGCUUGCCGAGCAAUCGGUUUGCAGGCCAGCAUCAGUUUUCUGGGGUGGAUAAUGGUAGAGAGAAGGUAGCAGUUUCGGCUGUGUUAUAGCUCUUUGCUGGAUACACCUUGGGGGACUGAGGAACGCAGUGUGCCUUACGGCGGAUUUCUCGAGAUCUUCACACUUAGGAUGCUGGUGGAAUGGCUUUAAACGACCCGUCUUG
rnacentral:rRNA from 1 species